rnacentral:rRNA from 1 species
AGGUCCCGCCUGCCCUGUGACUAUAUGUUUAACGGCCGCGGUAUUUUGACCGUGCGAAGGUAGCGCAAUCACUUGUCUUUUAAAUGGGGACCUGUAUGAAUGGCAUAACGAGGGCUUAACUGUCUCCUUUUUCAAGUCAGUGAAAUUGAUCUCCCCGUGCAGAAGCGGGGAUAGACACAUAAGACGAGAAGACCCUGUGGAGCUUCAGACACUAAAGCAGAUCAGUAUUAAUACCCUGAACAUAAGGCACGAAUAAGAUGAUUCCUGCCCUAAUGCUUCGGUUGGGGCGACCGCGGAGAAAUAUAUAACCCCCGCAAGGACUGAAUGUACUACAUUCACAACCAAGAGUGACAACUCUAAUUAACAGAACUUCUGACCAAUAAGAUCCGGCAAUGCCGAUUAAUGAACCAAGUUACCCCAGGGAUAACAGCGCAAUCUCCUCUUAGAGUCCAUAUCGACGAGGAGGUUUACGACCU